GCAAAGCUUUCCAGCAGGAAAGUCUUCAGCUGGUACAAAAGAUAAUCCUGAAUUAUUGUUGAGGGCUCAGGAUAAUAUAAGGGUCAUCAGUUUGGUGUGUCUAAGUAUAAAAAUUUGAGCUGUGAAGAGUAAAGACUUUAUUUAUUUUACAAUAACAAGGAAGACUAUGAUGCUGUAUAAUCUAAUGCUGGGCACCUUCGCAGGUGACAGAUGAUACAGCACUAAUGAUCAGACUGUUUAAGAGCUGAAUCAGCUUAGAAUCCCAACUCAUUAAACCUCAGCAAGACUAAAAGAUUCCUUGGACUUUAAGGCUGAAAGCUUCACUCUGCUGACAACAUUUUGGACUACACACGUGCUAAUGUGGUCACAGACUCACCACUUCAAAGACACUGUGCACCUUGAUGAAUGUUGUAAAUCCCAAAUUACACAGGAUUUAUUUUGGGAAAUUGCUUUUUCCUUUUCUCCUCACAAAGUUGAUCGAGGCUAAACCUUUUGUUCAUUUUGGGUCGGCUUAAGUCUAAGUCCAAAUGAUACAUCUAGCUUUAGUUUUGAUAAGGGCAAAAUUAAAGCCCAGGCUGGAUCCUCUGAGUCCCUGCUGUGCAGUCCCCAAAGGCUGCCUGGUACACAGCUUUUCAGCCUCUCGAGCAACCAGAGCUAUUUACUUUGGAGUCACAAAAUAUAAGGACUAAAGAUCUUUUUUCAAUAUUGACAUUCAAUGGAAAGGUUACUUAUUUUUGACAGUCCUUCAAAAGAGAUUCCCAACGAUUCCCCCAUUUCUCCUUCUCUCUGUGUCUUAUCCCUGAAGCCUCCAGCUGCAAGCACCAUUCUUCUUUGCUGCCUGUCAACAUGAGCAAUUAAUGGCUCUGAAGGGUUGCUUUGAAUGGCCUGUGUAGUCCCACCCACAGGAACUGGCUUCAAGAUAGCAGUGCCAAGUGGUUUCAUGGGAAUCCAUAGAGGAGCAAUAGUUUUACCCAGAGGUCAUAAUGUUUUGGAUAAAAUUGUGAAUCAGUUUUUAGCUGUGUGCUAUGAGCUUCAGGCUACUUUUUAAAUUCUCCCCCAAAGCUUACUGUUUUUUACAUGAAGAGGCCAUAUGUCAUAAUAAACAUCAGGCUUAGGAACAGCUCACACUCUAAAUGUCAGGCUACAAAGCUACCUUUAAAGAUUAAAUCUCUGCCCUCUUCAAAAGGGAGGUUGAAGGGAGGGAUGAAGAAAUCCCAAAUACAGAGAGCCUCACAAAUAAAGCAAAGUUUACUACUAACAAAACGUAUCUUGCAAAAACACACUUGGUGCUUUGCUGUUGGAGCUGCCCUCGAUAAAAUGUGGGUGUCAUUUGAAAAGGACAUCAUUUCCAAUGAAUUCUGAAAGUGUCACACAGAGUAUU